rnacentral:rRNA from 1 species
UACAGAGGUGGCAAGCGUUGUUCGGAAUUACUGGGCGUAAAGGGUGCGUAGGCGGGUCUUUUAAGUCAGGGGUGAAAUCCUGGAGCUCAACUCCAGAACUGCCUUUGAUACUGAGGAUCUUGAGUAUGGAGAGGUGAGUGGAAUUCGACGAGUGAGUGAAAUUCGUAGAUAUUCGGAAGAACACCAGUGGCGAAGGCGGCUCACUGGCCAUACUGACGCUGAGGUGAAGCACGGGAGGCAAACAGGGAUUAGAACGACCGUA